GCUUUUGUGGGUCCUGGAUGAGUGGCGAACGGGUGAGUAACACGUGAGUAACCUGCCCCCUUCUUCUGGAUAACCGCAUGAAAGUGUGGCUAAUACGGGAUAUUCUGGGUCUGUCGCAUGGUGGGCCUGGGAAAGAUUGCGCCUUUUUGGGUGUUUUUGGUGGGGGAUGGGCUCGCGGCCUAUCAGCUUGUUGGUGGGGUGAUGGCCUACCAAGGCGGUGACGGGUAGCCGGCCUGAGAGGGUGGACGGUCACACUGGGACUGAGACACGGCCCAGACUCCUACGGGAGGCAGCAGUGGGGAAUAUUGCACAAUGGGCGCAAGCCUGAUGCAGCGACGCCGCGUGAGGGAUGGAGGCCUUCGGGUUGUGAACCUCUUUCGCCAGUGAAGCAGGCCUGCUCCUGUGUGGGUGGGUUGACGGUAGCUGGAUAAGAAGCGCCGGCUAACUACGUGCCAGCAGCCGCGGUAAUACGUAGGGCGCGAGCGUUGUCCGGAAUUAUUGGGCGUAAAGAGCUCGUAGGCGGCUGGUCGCGUCUGUCGUGAAAUCCUCUGGCUUAACUGGGGGCUUGCGGUGGGUACGGGCCGGCUUGAGUGCGGUAGGGGAGGCUGGAACUCCUGGUGUAGCGGUGGAAUGCGCAGAUAUCAGGAAGAACACCGGUGGCGAAGGCGGGUCUCUGGGCCGUUACUGACGCUGAGGAGCGAAAGCGUGGGGAGCGAACAGGAUUAGAUACCCUGGUAGUCCACGCCGUAAACGUUGGGCACUAGGUGUGGGG
rnacentral:rRNA from 1 species